AUUUGACGUCGACCAUAUUUGGGUAUAAAUAGCGGACGAAGCAAAUCUUAAAACAUUGUCUGUAAAGCAACGAUUCCCAACAAUGAAUUCUAAAUUUUUCGUUUUUGCCAUAUUGGCAGCUGCUUUGUUGGUGUCUAUAUCCGCAGCACCAGCAAUGAAGAAAGGUGACAUCGUAGUAGUUGUGCAGGGUCGCAAACGCCGCGACGUUAGUUGCUUUGAAGUUUCUGAUGGAUCUGUCGAACCAAAUGGACCUGGUUGCCAACAAAUUGAGGUUCGCCGAAAGCUAACAGAAUGAGGAAGUUGUGUCUUGUGUGCCACUGUACAUGUUUACCAAUUCCUUAAUAAUUUCUAAAUAAAUAAGAUUUUGAAAAGCA